GGAAGGCCCUGCUCCUGACGUCAGUGGAAUACCACAACUUGGCUACUUGGAUGUUAGUUGGAAUCAGUUGACGGGUCCCAUAUCAUCCGGCCAACUAGCGAGCAACAUAACUACAAUAGAUUUUUCCCACAAUCGUCUUAACGGUUCUAUUCCUGCAAGUUUCUCCGGCCUUCCUAAUCUGCAAAGACUGUAAGU